UCAAACCUCUGGCAAGCAAGCUCUUCGGGUUAGCAGCUUAUUUUGAACUAAUAUUGUGCUCAUUUUUAUCUUAUAUUGUGACAACCAUGUAUGUGAGCCUGUGAGUUAGUUACUACUUUGGUAUUGGUCUAUCGAUUUUGCCUUUUUUAUUUAAUUUUUUUAUCAAGGUUAGAUGAACCAACUAAUAGCGAAGAGACUAAAUAAUUAUUUGGUGAUUUAUAAUUUUGGGAAUCAUUUUUUUAUUUUUUUUAAUUCUAGGAACCAAUUAAUACCUCUUUCUUUGAUCUGUUUACUGUAGUUCCAGUCAUAGUAACAACCUACACAUUUCAUUUUAAUGUACAUCCAAUUGGGUUUGAGCUUGUCAAGCCAUCAAAAAUGGCAACAGCAGUUCGAAUAGCAUUGCUGCUUUGUGGUGUCAUCCAAUUGGUUUCAAGUAUCUGCAGGCCUUGAGGGAAGUAUCCUAUGCCAUGAUCGAUAUGCCAACUGUAUUGCAAUUCUCUUCAACAACUAAGAAUGCGGACGAAUUUGCCUCAAGACUUUUAGAUAUUCAUUCUAAGAUGCUACAGAUUAACAAAAAAGAGGAUAAGAAGCGGUUUUGGAUGUGUCGUGAUGGCUUUUAUGAUGGAUAGAAAUUAGAGUAGAUAACAUGCAAAACAGGUGAAGGGGAGAUGGAAAACUGGGAGC